rnacentral:siRNA from 1 species
UUUGUGUUGACCUAUAAGGCGC